rnacentral:lncRNA from 1 species
CCUAACACAAGUGCAACUCCUGGGGAUUUGAACCCAGCAAAACUGCUGGUGGCGUGAACGGGCUGGAAGCUCUGUGGACAUCCCGGCUCAGAGCCGGGGGGCUCUUUUGCAAACUAAAGUCGAAUGUAAAUCAGCAUUGCUCCAGUAAUUUCAGAGAAAUGCUCACACUUGCAGACAUGUCUGGGGAAUAAAACCCCUGAUCUGGGAAGAUUUAUGUUUAUAAUGCUUGGACCUAAAUCUGCGGCCAGUUAUUAGGCUAUUUAUGGCAGCUGUUCCUAAUUAGUUUGUGGGCAGGGCUCCUUUGUAUGCAUUUGGGUUUACCUCCUGUGUGCUGUCACCCUGCUUUUGCACUCAGCUUUACUUUAGUCCUUACAGCACAAAAAGCAACAGCUGCAUCCUCCUUCUUCACCGUGACAUUUGACUUUCCUUUCUUUUAUUGACUUGUUUUUAUCUGAGGCAAAACAACGCACUUAAAUAUGGAUGAUUCUUAUUUCUAAAAUAAAAGGCCUGAUACAAGGAAACGUUCUCCCUGCUAGUCUAAUUUGUAUCUAGGUUAAUUGCUCUCCUGGUGGAUGUUUAAUUGAUUCACGUAAAGAAAGCCAAUGAAGGGCUCUAGCUCAGUGACGACUCUACAUAACUGCAGUGACUCCUUUUUCUCUUUAAUUAGCACUAAACGAGGAGUCCACCUUGCGGAUGGCUACUGAGAUCUCCAAGGGACCCAUUUUUAUUUAGAUGCUGUAUAUAGCAAUAGUUUAUUUUUCUGAUGCAGACCACUACAGUAAACGUUGAACAGAAAUGAAGAGGUUUUUAGAUGAGUGUGAGAAGGACCUGCAGCGACAGAGAAGAUAUCUGCAUACAGAAAUCCAAAUGAUCUUCAGCAAUGCCGUGGUCACAGUGAUGCUGCAAGACCAUGACAUGCAAAUGUGGUGGAAUUUGCUGCAUUGCUUUUUUUUCACUUUUCUAUUUCCAAGCUUAAGAUUAGCAUUAGGUCUUCACUAACUGGCUCCACGCCAAUGAAAUGCAUUUAGAAAACACUUUGAGAAAAGAAUUUAAAGGCUAUCACCUGUAAAUUUCAAGGUCAGAAUAUUCAUCACCGUCCUUUGAAAUGCUCCCUGUGUUGGUAUUGCAGGUUAUGUCUGAAAUUUUGCCAGGUUUGAAGUCUGUAUGUUUUAGAAUUACAAAAUAAAGCAAACAAAACUCCCCCA